AUGGCUGGGUGGCUGGACUGACAAGUCAGCUAACCUGUAAAGGCUUGGAGUGCAGGGUAAGGAACGUGAAACUUGUAAUUGAUAGGGAAUGGAAGUGUGACAUGACCACACGUGGGCUUCAGAAAGCCCCCAAUGCUGCUUCUCUGACACCAUCACUUUGUGUCUGCUUCCCAGUCACCAUGAAGUGACCAGUUUGGCUCCAUCAUGCUCUCCACCUCCUGAGUCUACAUUAUGAGGAGAUCAAAGCAACCCAGAAGACAAACUCCCCAGGUUUCAGGGAGUGGAAAGGCUGCCUCGGUGGCUGCUUUGGAAGACCCACUUGUGCCUGUUUGAUGACCUGGUUGACGGUCCUUUGUCUUCAGCACUUGUUGCCUGGAUUGAAGAAGAGUAAUGAAGUUUCCGGCACAAAAACCUUUGGAGUUCUUUGAUAGCAGCCUCACAAGAAAAAGUCUGGAUCCAUCCUGGAAAUGAAGAGGACUGAAAAACAAACUUACUAGAAGAUAUUGAUUAUACCUACAGUUUCUUUGUUUGUGUCGUGGGCCUGGCAAGUACAGCUGGGGACGUCUGUCUUCAGAAGUCACUUGACAUGUGUGCCACGAGUCAGUGUAGCCAAUGUAUCCCAGCUUCCUGGCUUCAGUGUGGGGUGAAGUAUCCAGUUAUCGAUUGUUUUAAGAAUUUGGUUAGUAAAAGGAUUUGCGGGACCCAGUUUGAACUCAUGGGACCAUACUAUUACAGGUAAUGAAUAAAGUAGCAACGGGAGGUGGCACAGCACUGGUUGGCUCUAGCGAUCUCAAGGGCAGGCUCUCUCAUGAUGUGAUGGAUUCACUUCUCCUUCAGGCUGUUAAACCCACCUUAGGCUGACUUGUCUAAAUGUCUUGGUGCCAGGAAGCCCAAAGCUUGCACCGGCUAGGUGACAUGGGCUUAUUUUAUUAUGUGACCUGCCUCGGUUCCUCCAAGUUCCACUCAAAGUCUGGGCAAAUUAUAAAUAUAGUUACUACUCUUAAAUAGUCCUGACAGAUUAAUUAGUUUCUACCAUGUGCUACCAUGAAACAACUCACAGACCAAUGUUAACAUAACAUUGUUUACCUUUAGU